AUUCACUUGUUUAAGAUGUUUCGAGUUAUUUCUUUCGUGAUUUUUAUUGUAUCCAUGAGCAACUGUGUCAAAUAUAAUGAAGAGUUUACCAACUACUUUCAAGCAACUUCUGGAUGCCUUCAAUACUUUAGCAAUGAAGGCUACUACACAAAAGGGCCUCAUUUUGAAACUUCCAAUUUUUUGUACAUCAAUCAAAGCACAAAUGUGACAAAACUCAGAGUCGGAAUGCUGGGCGCGUUCGAUGGCCACAUAAGAAUGGUUCCAGUAGAGCAUCCCUACAAUAAUAUUGAUACGCUUGAGAUUGUAAUCGGUAAAAACAAUGGAAAAGAGGUCAGUGUUCGAGCUUAUACACGGGUUGGUGAAGCACAAAUAAACAACUGGAACGAUAUUGUUAAUAAAGAAAUGCCAAAUUUGAUGUCUCCGUCGAAACCAUUCCUUUUCACCAUUAUAGUAUUCCAUGAUGGACAUGUUAAACUUGUGAAAGACAAUGAAGUUGAACCAUUUUUAGAGUUUUACCAUAGGCAUAUUUCGCUUGAUUUCGUUAGCUUCCCUAACUGGAAUCAACCUGUUAAUUAUUUCUUUGAUUGCCCAUUAUCUUUUGAAGAACAAGUUUAAAAAUAAAAAUAAAAAUCAAACGAUAAGUCUCAACGAAUAGUUCCCACCCAUCAACACGUUCCAGCCAGCCUCCGGAUGAUGAAACAGUCAUUAAAAUAAAUAAGCAAUUGAAGAAUAAACAGCAAUCUGGUUGAAUAAACACCGCUC